GGGGGAGUAGUUCAAUUGGCAGAACAGCGGUCUCCAAAACCGAAGGUUGUGGGUUCGAUUCCUGCCUCCCCCG
rfam:Candidatus Desulforudis audaxviator MP104C, complete genome.